UACGAGGGGGGCAAGCGUUGUUCGGAAUUAUUGGGCGUAAAGAGCUCGUAGGCGGUGUGUCGCGUCGGCCGUGAAAACCUGGGGCUUAACUCUGGGCGUGCGGUCGAUACGGGCAUCACUAGAGUUCGGCAGGGGAGACUGGAAUUCCUGGUGUAGCGGUGAAAUGCGCAGAUAUCAGGAGGAACACCGGUGGCGAAGGCGGGUCUCUGGGCCGAUACUGACGCUGAGGAGCGAAAGCAUGGGUAGCGAACAGG
rnacentral:rRNA from 1 species